AAUAAUGUUUCUAAAACUUUCCGCUAACAUAUACAGUAUUUUAUUUCUUAGAUCAACUAUUUCUAAGGAUAAGCCUGCACCCGGAAACAGUGGGGUUUUCCAGAUUUCAGGACCACGUGCCUGAAACAAAUUGUGAUUCUUUUCUAAGCAGAGGUGUUGGACAGACCUGUCGGCACUGGAAAUUAAACAUGGCAGUGAGAUGAGGCCAAUAAUGUGUUAACAUAAGAGUAAGAGAUGCUUUUGAAUGACUUUUAUUGCUGCACAAUUCCCCAGACAGCAGUCACACCUGCCAGCUGAAUAAAAGCUAUCUCUUAGAUGCUGUGCUGUACAGCUGUGGAUUCUUUGCUCACCUGCACUGCAUCUUCCUAUGCAUACUUUAGAGGAAAUUAACAAGCAAGACUUCAGGGCUGAACUAUAAGAAUGGAAACAUCCUCAACUGUUUGAAAGAGACCGAGUUUCUAAGGUCCAGCAAAUGAGAUGAAGAAAUCAGCAGCUGGCAGUUGGUGUUCCUGCUUCAGUCUGAGAAAUCCAUCUUCUGUGGCUGAAUGCAAACUGCAGUGCAAUCCCAGGAGCCCUCAGAAAUAGCCCUGGCAGGUGAAUCUAAGCAGUUUUGACCCAGAAGACCCAGGCCAAGUAGUGGUGCACUGCGUGCUUCCUUCUCAUCUUUUCCCCCUGACUACUCGCCUGUGGUCUGUGUGCUGUGUGCAAUUGCCAAUUUAUUCCCAAUGCUUGCUAACCUGUUGGACAAUCUCUGCAAUAAAAUGAAUUCCCUGGUUGAAGGGUAUUGUUGCAGGACACUCAAACCUUGGAAUAAUC